CCUACGGGUGGCAGCAGUGGGGAAUAUUGGACAAUGGGGGCAACCCUGAUCCAGCCAUGCCGCGUGUGUGAAGAAGGCCCUCGGGUUGUAAAGCACUUUCAGUGAGGAAGAACGCCUGGUGGUUAAUACCCAUCAGGAAAGACAUCACUCACAGAAGAAGCACCGGCUAACUCCGUGCCAGCAGCCGCGGUAAUACGGAGGGUGCGAGCGUUAAUCGGAAUUACUGGGCGUAACGCGCGCGUAGGUGGCUUGAUAAGCCGGUUGUGAAAGCCCCGGGCUCAACCUGGGAACGGCAUCCGGAACUGUCAAGCUAGAGUGCAGGAGAGGAAGGUAGAAUUCCCGGUGUAGCGGUGAAAUGCGUAGAGAUCGGGAGGAAUACCAGUGGCGAAGGCGGCCUUCUGGACUGACACUGACACUGAGGUGCGAAAGCGUGGGUAGCAAACAGGAUUAGAUACCCCUGUAGUC
rnacentral:rRNA from 1 species